rnacentral:rRNA from 1 species
CCUACGGGUGGCUGCAGUGGGGAAUAUUGGACAAUGGGGGAAACCCUGAUCCAGCGACGCCGCGUGAGUGAAGAAGUAUUUCGGUACGUAAAGCUCUAUCAGCAGGAAAGAAAAUGACGGUACCUGACUAAGAAGCCCCGGCUAACUACGUGCCAGCAGCCGCGGUAAUACGUAGGGGGCAAGCGUUAUCCGGAUUUACUGGGUGUAAAGGGAGCGUAGACGGCAGCGCAAGUCUGGAGUGAAAUGCCGGGGCCCAACCCCGGAACUGCUGUGGCACCUGUGAAGCUGGAGGGCAGGAGAGGUAAGCGGAAUGCCGGGUGUAGCGGGGAAAUGGGCAGAUAGCAGGAGGAACACGGGCGGCGAAGGCGGCUUACUGGACUGUAACUGACGUUGAGGCUCGAAGGCGUGGGGAGCAAACAGGAUUAGAUACCCUUGUAUC